UACGGGAGGCAGCAGUGAGGAAUAUUGGACAAUGGCCGAGAGUCUGAACCAGCCAAGUAGCGUGCAGGAUGACGGCCCUAUGGGUUGUAAACUGCUUUUAUACAGGGAUAAAGUAGGGAACGUGUUCCCUUUUGCAGGUACUGUAUGAAUAAGGACCGGCUAAUUCCGUGCCAGCAGCCGCGGUAAU
rnacentral:rRNA from 1 species